rnacentral:lncRNA from 1 species
AUUUCGGCAUGAAAGAUGACUAAUUAAAUUUGUAGGUUUAUGUUACUAUGCGUAUGGAAAAGCUUUUUAUAUUUUGCGUUUUCAUCCAGAUGAAAGUUGCGAGAGCCUUCGACAUUUAACUCUUUUAGCUGCACAUUUUUAAAAGCCAAAGUCCUACCAUACUGACUCACUCUGAAUAGGUGUAUACUAUGGAAAAACUGAACUCGUGUUAGGUUUAAAAAAGUGAAAUACACUCGGUCUGAAAAAGGGAAUUUUUGGUAACGCUCAAAGUAUUCUAACUUAUUUUGAGAUUUUUCUGAUGUCAUUUUCUUUAACUUAGAGCUUAAUUCUUUGGCUAUUAUAAGGAAAAUAGCAGGCUUUGUUUUUAUCAGUAUUUUUAAACACCCUGUGCAUUAACGUUUUCCUUGGAACCGAAAAGUAGUCGAUCCUUUUGAAACUGCAACUUUUGUUAACUUUUCCUUUUUAAUCGUUGUUUUAUCUUCAAAAUUAAUAGAUUUACAGCAUUUAUAGCUAGGAACAGUUUAGCUGAGAAUUUAAAUAUAAAAUUUCCACGUUUUGCUUCUCGUCAAGACUGAAUUUUAACCCUAACAGGAUAACUGGGACGACACUUUUUUAAAAAGCCAUAUUUCUCUUCAUAUAUAUAUUUGUAUUUUGUGCAGUGCUGAUGCAUAUCGAUUAAAAAACUAUGCCAGUUUCAUACAAAUACUUGAAAUUUUUUUUUGACUUUUCCUUAAAAUAGUUUCUCUGACGACAGCAAAUUUAUAGAAUAUUUCUCUCUUUCCUAGUGAUAAAAUCGAUGUCCUCAAUGAUAAGGGAAAGCAAAUACUGACGAAAAGACGCAAUUUGAAAAGGGUUGACUACAUUUUCGUUUCAAGUAAAUCGAUAAAAAAAAUAGAAAUACUUUUUUUCAUUAUUUGACAUAGAAAAUAAAUAGCUAAUACUGCGUACCAAUGAGAUAGCUUAGCCGCAGACCUGGUUUACAAAUUAUAAAAAAAUAUAUGAAAAUCAGUUAAUGAGUAUUAAUGUUUGACUUUGAACUUUACACAAAAAUCGCCCCGUUAUUUUUGAAACUGUGCUGAGUGCAUGUCGGCGAUAUAUAUUUGAUCUGAUCUUCCUGACUAUAGAAAUAAAUAAAAGUUUGUCAAAUUAGACAUUUUCUGCACUUUUACCAACAAACUCGACAUACACGGGGCAAGUAAUUUUGGUAAAUAUUAUUUAUUUGAAACGUUUGCAAUAAUUAUACUAAAAAAUCCUAUAUAAACAGUGACGCAGUCAUUCGAGCGAGAAGCUAUUUCAGACUUAAGGAGUUCUGAUAUAAAGUCUGUUGAAAAA